AUGUUAGCCUGGAUGAUCGCGAUCUCCCGACCAUGUGAUCCGCCUGCCUCGGCCUCAGGCCUCCCAAAGUGCUGGCUUACGGAUCCCGGCUGUUUUUGCUUUGAUGAUACGUUUGCUCGGGUGUCCAUGGCUCUCACCUUCCAGCACUCUCCACUGGCAGCUUGUCCAUGCCUGAUUUCUGACUCCGUCCACUAUAAUCACGAGACUGAAGGCGAUGCACUGUAUCAACUAGAGGAAGAGAAGGAGAAAUUCAUUGUCAUUCCUCAAGGGCACACUGCAAAGAAAAAGAAGCUGUACUUUUCCACUUCCUCCAACAAAAGGGGCAGCUUUUAG
rnacentral:lncRNA from 13 species